UUCAACGGCCGCGGUAUUUUGACCGUGCAAAGGUAGCGCAAUCACUUGUCCUUUAAAUGAGGACCUGUAUGAAAGGCAAGACGAGGGCUUUGCUGUCUCUCCUCUCAAGUCAAUGAAAUUGAUCUGCCCGUGCAGAAGCGGGCAUCUAAAUACAAGACGAGAAGACCCUUUGGAGCUUAAGACACAAGCCAACUAUGUCAAUGGACCCUCCAAACUAAAUAGCUCUGGCCCAGAGUCUUCGGUUGGGGCGACCGCGGGGGAAAAUAAAGCCCCCAUGUGGAAUGAGGAUACCCCCCUUACAACCACGAGAAACCCCUCUAAGUCACAGAACUUCUGACCAAAAGAUCCGGCUACCGCCGACUAACGAACCAAGUUACCCAAGGGAUAACAGCGCAAUCCCCUCCAAGAGUUCCCAUCGACAAGGGGGUUUACGACCUCGAUGUUGGAUCAGGGCCUCCUAAUGGUGCAGCCGCUAUUAAGGGUUCGUUUGUUCAACGAUUAAAGCCCUAC
rnacentral:rRNA from 1 species